rnacentral:tRNA from 1 species
UCUGUAGCUCAAUGGAUAGAGCGUCUGUUUCCUAAGCAGAAGGUCAUAGGUUCAACCCCUACCUGA